rnacentral:lncRNA from 1 species
UACUACUCUUUUCUUCGUUUUCAUUUGUUCAUCCAACUCUACACCUCUUACCUAAAGAAAUAUCUGGGAAUAUGGGGCACAGGGCAUAAGUGCUGUUUGGUAAUACAGAUGGACGAUAAUGGAAUGGGUUGUAAAAGCCACUAUGUGAAAGUUCCUCCUCAAGGGACCACAGCCCCAUUGAAAAUGGCUUCAUCAACCCAAACAUACUCAAGUGCUCGGCUCCACUGCAUCUUUCUUCGCCUUUGAUUUAAAAAUAAUGGGAUUUUUUUUUCUAACGAAAAAGAAAUCAUUUUACUCGAAUUUUCAUGGCAAACGAGCAUUAUUGCAUCGCUUUCUUUUUCAGCUGAAAAAAGCAGCGCUUUAUUAGAACAAGGGCAGCACCCAAAUCAAUCAGGAAUUAACAUAUAUGCUUUAUUGUGUUAGUAAUGAAUACUCACCACCUUCUUGUUGUCAAAAUUAAUGACAUGAUGAUCUCUUCAUUUGCCCCAAAAAGUAUCUUUUCCUAUAUUAAAAGUGUCACGAGAAAAAUCAUCUUUCCUAACAGGAUAUUGAAAUGAUAUCGUCUUUAAAAC